rnacentral:misc_RNA from 1 species
UCUCCAACUCUUCUCUGAAUUUGUGUCUGCAUCCACAAGUCCAUCAGCAUACUUUGUCGAACCGAUUUUCUCAAACUGCACUCUUUGGUUGGGUGCACUAUGUGACCUAAAAAAGGGCAGCCCGGUGCACUAAGCUGUUGCUAUGUGCAGGGUCCAGAGAAGGGUCAAACCACAAGGGUCUAUCAUACAUACCACAAGGGCCAGACCCUGCAUUUCUGCAAGAUGUUGUUUCCACAGCUAGUUCAAACAAAAUCCAUUUAAAAAUCCAGUAAAAGAAAAAAGUUACCAAAAUGUGCUUGACAAUGUUAUUGUCCUUCCACAAUCUUCUUUUCUUGGCUCUCUGAAGCUGGUUUUCUACCAGCAAAUCUGGCCUUCAUAUUGUUGCACAGGUGGAAUAUUUAUAUGAACGUUAAAAUCACCCACUUCGGGACCAUCAGAAACUUCAGAUGAAAAAUUCUUCAGAGUAAUUUAAUGGUUACAUAAAUUUUAAUCAAAUGCACUACCCAAAUCUGUUCCCAAAUCUUGAUAUUGAAAAAUUCCAUAUGUAUUCGAUUCAAACUCCAAUCUGGAAAUAUUGUGGGAUAUCGUACUCAGCUCGGCUUAUCUUGCUAAACAUGGAUAAGUAUUGGUGAACCAAAUUUUGAUUCAUCGGAACAGUUUCUUCUCUUUUGUGACUUCAAUCUCUUGGUUGGUGCUGACAGUAAUUUCCCCCUCAGGAUAAUCCACAUAUAAGAACCAUUCUUGGUUGUUGAAUCGUUGGUAACAUGUCACUUGUCAUUCAUCUUUAAUUUUUAAAGACUCCCCCAAAAGCUGAUUAGUGUUUGUUUCAACCACUUCCAGAAGCCUUUCCAUCUACUACUUUAUUCCUGAACACCUCCUCAGGCAGAACGACCCUGAAAACAGCAUAAUGGUGAUUUAAGCUCCGCUCCCCUUGCAAUCUGUGAACACUUCCUAGUGCACCAGCAAUGGAAUUUGGGGAAGAAAAAAAUAUCCGUCUAACUCUUUGAUGUACAAGCGCCAUUGCGCACAUUGCACAUGGUUCCCAGGCCAGAUAAAUGUCAUAUCCAGUACAUAGAUAAGGUCUGAGCGAUUGAUAACUAUGGCCAUUGCUAUGGAAGCCAG